AGCUUUGCGCAGUGGCAAUAUUGUAACCAAUGAGGUUUUUCCGAGGUGCGAUUAUUGCUAGUUGAAAACUUAUACCAAUACCCCGCCAAAUCGACGUGAAAUAUCGUCGAUUUAGGCAAUUUUUGAAAGCUCCUACGGGAG
rfam:Zootermopsis nevadensis contig29677, whole genome shotgun sequence.